CUUUCUUCGUCCAUCACAAGACGCAGAGAACAACUAACAAUGCAUCUUUUUAGAUCCUCUCUUCGUUUCCCCAAAUCCACUGCGUACAGUUUCGUAUCAAACCGAUUUUCUCACCUCAAAACCCCGGACCCCUGGCCUCGAUCCUCAAGUCCCAGUCCGUGGUCCGGCCGGUUCCGAGGCCCCGACACAGUGAAGUUCCUCCAGGGCCUGCUGACCAAUGAUGUACGAAGGUUGGAUGACUCCCUGGGCAAGAGCACCUCGACCUUGCUCAUGCCCAAUUUGCCCACCGUGUCUGUUCCUCCCAUGUACGCUGCGCUCUUGAUCCCUCAGGGAAGGUUCCUGUACAACCUGUUCUUGUACAUGCCGUCGAGGCCCGAUGCCAAGCUCGAUAGAAACAGGUUAGAACCCGAGUCUCACUUGGACGAGUCGUUCAAGCUGUUCGCGAAUGUGGAUGCUACUGUUUUGGAUGAGCUCUUGGAGACCUUCAGGAAGGAAAUCACACUAUCAAUCUUACUACAUUAGCAAUGUCUUUAUGAAGCAAGUAGAUCUAAGGCAUCAAAGAGAAGCAUAUGAGUACUAAUGGAUAUUAAACUUGAGAACCAUCAUUGAGGAUAUCGAAGAUGAGGAAACAAUGCUCAAACCUCCAAAAUACAAUAUUAUCCUUUUAAACGAAUUUGACGUGUAUAAAGACACAAAUGCCAAAUAGUUACAAUUAAUACGAACCCGCCAGAGGAAGUGAACAACAGCCAAGGGAAAAUAUUAGUCCAAGACAUAUACAUUAUUGAACCAAGGUAUGAACAUAUAUCUGCUUACAUUUAUCAAGUUUUUAAUUUAAUAUCUUAUAAUACUCUUAUUAUUAGAGAUUUAAUUAUAUUUAUAAUUUUGAUAGCCUAAAACUACUGCGUUUAAUGAUGUGGAAUCGAUUCCACGACAAAUGCCAAGAAAAUCUAACCUUAUUCUGGUAAAACCAAUCAUUCUGGGAACAUGAAUCAGAGUUUCUUCUUAUAAUGGUAGUUCCUGUUAGAAUUAACAUUCUUAUCAAUUAUCCAUUGUAUAUUUGUAUAUUUAUUCGUACAUAUUUAUAACGUAGGCCUAUCUUUGUCAUCAAGAUUGACGAGUGUCUUCACCAUCGAGGCUCUUCUUCCAUCUGUUGUUGCAUUGCGUACAUGGUAAACAACUUAUCUAAAAAACUUUAU